rnacentral:rRNA from 1 species
AUACGAAGGGGGCUAGCGUUGUUCGGAUUUACUGGGCGUAAAGCGCACGUAGGCGGAUUGAUUAGUUAGGGGUGAAAUCCCGAGGCUCAACCUCGGAACUGCCUUUAAUACUGUCAAUCUCGAGACCGGAAGAGGUGAGUGGAACUCCUAGUGUAGAGGUGGAAUUCGUAGAUAUUAGGAAGAACACCAGUGGCGAAGGCGGCUCACUGGUCCGGUACUGACGCUGAAGUGCGAAAGCGUGGGGAGCGAACAGGAUUAGAAACCCUAGUAGUCC